UACGGAGGAUUCAAGCGUUAUCCGGAUUUAUUGGGUUUAAAGGGUGCGUAGGCGGUCGGAUAAGUUAGAGGUGAAAUCCCGAGGCUCAACUUCGGAAUUGCCUCUGAUACUGCUCGGCUAGAGAGUAGUUGCGGUAGGCGGAAUGUAUGGUGUAGCGGUGAAAUGCUUAGAGAUCAUACAGAACACCGAUUGCGAAGGCAGCUUACCAAGCUACUUCUGACGUUGAGGCACGAAAGCGUGGGGAGCAAACAGG
rnacentral:rRNA from 1 species